UACCAGCACCCCGAGUGGUCGGGACGUUUUUAUUGGGCCUAAAGCAUCCGUAGCCGGUUCUACAAGUCUUCCGUUAAAUCCAACUGCUUAACAGGUGGGCUGCGGAAGAUACUAUAGAGCUAGGAGGCGGGAGAGGCAAGCGGUACUCGAUGGGGUAGGGGUAAAAUCCGUUGAUCCAUUGAAGACCACCAGUGGCGAAGGCGGCUUGCCAGAACGCGCUCGACGGUGAGGGAUGAAAGCUGGGGGAGCAAACAGG
rnacentral:rRNA from 1 species